AUGCAACGUUGCCAAGCGUUGUGCUAAGUAAUUUCUGAUUGUCAAAAUACAGUGUUUUUUUAGACAAAAUAAUUAAUUGUGAGCCUCCUAAGCCAGGUCUGAUCAAUUUUAUUAAAAGCAACUAUUUACAAAGGCGGUACAUUGUGACGUGGAAUAUCGUGUUCCUCUACUGAUAUCCCUUACGGAUUUGUGUACUUUGAAUUAUGAAUAAUUAACGCUUAAAGAGAAAUAACACUUUAUCGAAUAAGUGUUCUGUACAUUCUACACAAUACCCCAUGAAGUUUUACAUUUCGAUAUUCAAAUAUUCUCUACCUGUAUUAUUUUUGCCAAAAAAAUACAUAUUAUGCAACUUCGUCACUUUUAUAUAUCUAUUAUAAUAUUCCCUGUAUAACUAUCUACAAUAAAUGUACGCAUUUUAUACAUUAUUAUA